GGAGCUGAGAGUUGGAGUGGGUGAGAUUCAGGGGCCCAGAGCCACGGGGCCUCAGCUCACUGCCUGCUUCAGUGUGGGAGGGCUAAACCGAGGCCUCUACACUG